UUGCCCUACGGGGGGCAGCAGUGGGGAAUAUUGGGCAAUGGGCGCAAGCCUGACCCAGCAACGCCGCGUGAGUGAAGAAGUAAUUCGUUACGCAAAGCUCUAUCAGCAGGGAAGAAAAUGACGGUACCUGACUAAGAAGCCCCGGCUAACUACGUGCCAGCAGCCGCGGUAAUACGUAGGGGGCAAGCGUUAUCCGGAAUUACUGGGUGUAAAGGGAGCGCAGACGGCAGUGCAAGUCUGGAGUGAAAGCCCGUGGCUUAACUACGGGACUGCUCUGGAAACUGUGCAGCUAGAGUGCAGGAGAG
rnacentral:rRNA from 1 species